GACCCCGGCCGGCAGACCACCACCGGGACCGGGGGCCGACGGUUGGGCCGCCAGGAGGACACCUGUGACCGGUCCUAAUGUUUGUGGAGACAAGUGUUGUGUUGGAUGGACUCUGUCACCCAGAACCAGGAGAUGCACCAAAGCCAGAUGUCUUCCUCGUUGCCAUAACAGAGCAUCAUGUCGGAAGCUCAACCUUUGUGUUUGCCGUCCUGGUUUCCAUGGUGACCGCUGUGAGUUUUCCUCGGUG